rnacentral:rRNA from 1 species
UCGAACGGAAAGGCCUGCUUGCAGGUACUCGAGUGGCGAACGGGUGAGUAACACGUGGGUGAUCUGCCCUGCACUUCGGGAUAAGCCUGGGAAACUGGGUCUAAUACCGGAUAGGAACCAUUUUUAGUGUGAUGGUUGGAAAGUUUUUUCGGUGUAGGAUGAGCUCGCGGCCUAUCAGCUUGUUGGUGGGGUAAUGGCCUACCAAGGCGGCGACGGGUAGCCGGCCUGAGAGGGUGGACGGCCACAUUGGGACUGAGAUACGGCCCAGACUCCUACGGGAGGCAGCAGUGGGGAAUAUUGCACAAUGGGCGCAAGCCUGAUGCAGCGACGCCGCGUGGGGGAUGACGGCCUUCGGGUUGUAAACUCCUUUCGCUAGGGACGAAGCUUUUGUGACGGUACCUAGAUAAGAAGCACCGGCUAACUACGUGCCAGCAGCCGCGGUAAUACGUAGGGUGCGAGCGUUGUCCGGAAUUACUGGGCGUAAAGGGCUCGUAGGUGGUUUGUCGCGUCGUCUGUGAAAUUCCGGGGCUUAACUCCGGGCGUGCAGGCGAUACGGGCAUAACUUGAGUACUGUAGGGGUAACUGGAAUUCCUGGUGUAGCGGUGAAAUGCGCAGAUAU